rfam:Cavia porcellus supercont2_6 genomic scaffold, whole genome shotgun sequence.
GGGGGUUUAGCUCAGCGGCAUAAGCGCCUGCCUUGAAAGCAGGCAGUCCUGAGUUCGAUCCCCGGUACCGAUA